AAUUCGCGUUAAGGAUUGAACGAUCUGUUUGAGCUCUUUUUGUUUUUUCAACAAAAAAGCGAGUAGUGAAAGCCUGUUAAAAC
rnacentral:misc_RNA from 1 species